AUUGAACGCUGGCGGCAGGCUUAACACAUGCAAGUCGAGCGGGGGAGGUUGCUUCGGUAACUGACCUAGCGGCGGACGGGUGAGUAAUGCUUAGGAAUCUGCCUAUUAGUGGGGGACAACAUCUCGAAAGGGAUGCUAAUACCGCAUACGUCCUACGGGAGAAAGCAGGGGACCUUCGGGCCUUGCGCUAAUAGAUGAGCCUAAGUCGGAUUAGCUAGUUGGUGGGGUAAAGGCCUACCAAGGCGACGAUCUGUAGCGGGUCUGAGAGGAUGAUCCGGCACACGGGGACUGAGACACGGCCCAGACUCCUACGGGAGGCAGCAGUGGGGAAUAUUGGACAAUGGGGGGAACCCUGAUCCAGCCAUGCCGCGUGUGUGAAGAAGGCCUUUUGGUUGUAAAGCACUUUAAGCGAGGAGGAGGCUACUGGUAUUAAUACUACCGGAUAGUGGACGUUACUCGCAGAAUAAGCACCGGCUAACUCUGUGCCAGCCGCCGCGGUAACAC
rnacentral:rRNA from 1 species